rnacentral:tRNA from 1 species
GCCGGGGUGGCGGAACUGGCAGACGCGCACGUUUGAGGGGCGUGUGGGUUUCCCGUAGGGGUUCAAGUCCCCUCCCCGGCA